rnacentral:rRNA from 1 species
CCUACGGGUGGCUGCAGUGGGGAAUAUUGGACAAUGGGGGGAACCCUGAUCCAGCCAUGCCGCGUGUGUGAAGAAGGCCCUCGGGUUGUAAAGCACUUUCAGUGAGGAAGAACGCCUGGUGGUUAAUACCCAUCAGGAAAGACAUCACUCACAGCAGAAGCGCCGGCUAACUCCGUGCCAGCAGCCGCGGGUAUACGGAGGGUGCGAGCGUUAAUCGGAAUUACUGGGCGUAAAGCGCGCGUAGGUGGCUUGAUAAGCCGGUUGUGAAAGCCCCGGGCUCAACCUGGGAACGGCAUCCGGAACUGUCAAGCUAGAGUGCAGGAGAGGAAGGUAGAAUUCCCGGUGUAGCGGUGAAAUGCGUAGAGAUCGGGAGGAAUACCAGUGGCGAAGGCGGCCUUCUGGACUGACACUGACACUGAGGUGCGAAAGCGUGGGUAGCAAACAGGAUUAGAUACCCUUGUAGUC